GGCUCAGAACGAACGCUGGCGGCAUGCCUAACACAUGCAAGUCGAACGAGACCUUCGGGUCUAGUGGCGCACGGGUGCGUAACGCGUGGGAACCUGCCUUUAGGUUCGGAAUAACAGUGAGAAAUUACUGCUAAUACCGGAUAAUGUCUUCGGACCAAAGAUUUAUCGCCUUUAGAUGGGCCCGCGUUGGAUUAGCUAGUUGGUGGGGUAAAGGCCUACCAAGGCGACGAUCCAUAGCUGGUCUGAGAGGAUGAUCAGCCACACUGGGACUGAGACACGGCCCAGACUCCUACGGGAGGCAGCAGUGGGGAAUAUUGGACAAUGGGCGAAAGCCUGAUCCAGCAAUGCCGCGUGAGUGAUGAAGGCCUUAGGGUUGUAAAGCUCUUUUACUGGGGAUGAUAAUGACAGUA
rnacentral:rRNA from 1 species